rnacentral:rRNA from 1 species
UACGAAGGGGCUAGCGUUGUUCGGAAUUACUGGGCGUAAAGGGCUCGUAGGCGGCCAACUAAGUCGGACGUGAAAUCCCCAGGCUCAACCUGGGAACUGCGUCCGAUACUGGGAUGGCUUGAAUUCGGGAGAGGGAUGCAGAAUUCCAGGUGUAGCGGUGAAAUGCGUAGAUAUCUGGAGGAAUACCGGUGGCGAAGGCGGCAUCCUGGACCGACAUUGACGCUGACUGAGCGAAAGCUAGGGGAGCAAACGGGG